rnacentral:rRNA from 1 species
AUUGAACGCUGGCGGCAGGCCUAACACAUGCAAGUCGAACGAGUGGAGCACGGGUGAGUAAUGUCUGGGAAACUGCCUGCUGGAGGGGGAUAACUACUGGAAACGGUAGCUAAUACCGCAUACCAUCGGAUGUGCCCAGAUGGGAUUAGCGAGUGGGUGGGGGAACGGUCCACCUAGGCGGCGAUCGCUAGCUGGUCUGAGAGGAUGACCAGCCACACUGGAGCUGAGACACGGUCCAUGCUCCUACGGGAGGCAGCAGUGGGGAAUAUUGGACAAUGGGCGCAAGCCUGAUGCAGCCAUGCCGCGUGUAUGGAGAAGGCCUUCGGGUUGUAAAGUACGUUCAGCGGGGAGGCGUUACCCGCAGAAGAAGCACCGGCUAACUCCGUGCCAGCAGCCGCGGUAAUAC